rnacentral:rRNA from 1 species
GCUUAACACAUGCAAGUCGAACGCCCCGCAAGGGGAGUGGCAGACGGGUGAGUAACGCGUGGGAACAUACCCCUUUCCUGCGGAAUAGCUCCGGGAAACUGGAAUUAAUACCGCAUACGCCCUACGGGGGAAAGAUUUAUCGGGGAAGGAUUGGCCCGCGUUGGAUUAGCUAGUUGGUGGGGUAAAGGCCUACCAAGGCGACGAUCCAUAGCUGGUCUGAGAGGAUGAUCAGCCACAUUGGGACUGAGACACGGCCCAAACUCCUACGGGAGGCAGCAGUGGGGAAUAUUGGACAAUGGGCGCAAGCCUGAUCCAGCCAUGCCGCGUGAGUGAUGAAGGCCUUAGGGUUGUAAAGCUCUUUCACCGNAGAAGAUAAUGACGGUAGUCGGAGAAGAA